UUAUCAGUUUAAUAUCUGAUACGUCCUCUAU
rnacentral:ncRNA from 3 species